CAGAAGUCAGGGCAUCCUUCCUUUUGGAAGUAGAAUCAACAGCGCCUACUGUAGAUUAAUGACAUUUUCGUAAUACCAUUGAUUGUGCUCCAUUCCUUGAAGAAAUUACACACCACCUUCCUAAAUCUCAUCCCUCUUUAAAUCCAAUUGUAGAGGCAACCCAAAGCCACCAAAUCCAUCUCUGGGUCCUCCAAGGCCGGCCUCCAAUUUCAGGUUGGCUGUAUAGCUCGCUUCCUCAAAUCCAACAAGUAUGCCUUGGAUAUCUCCGCCGUCCUCGAAUAUCUCACUGCUAGUUAUUUGGUUUUGGGUCAGGACCAAUUGGGUUUGUUCAUGAUCAGCUAGAGUUUGAUUUUCUGUAUUUAGCUAACAGAAUUCUUGUGCCGUUGUGUUUUAUGGAUAAGCUAGUUCUGAGAAAAAGUGAGCUUCUGGGUCUUGUAUUUGAAAUGCCAAAACAGUUUGCAAUGUUUCCUAAUUUGGUUGCUUGGAAGAGAUUGGACUAGUUUGUAAUCUAGCUCUUGAUUUGCGAGACUCAGAGUGAUCAUGGAUUUCCUUCUAUGUUGAAGUUUGAUAUCCAGCACGAGUGAGCUUCUCAAGGCCGCUGUUUACUACACCAAAAACAGUCUUUUACCGCCCACAAUGUGCACCGUAAAUACCCUUUUACGGCGCACAAAAGCAGGCUGUAAAUGUCGGAGCUGUAAAAGACAUUCCUCUUUAACGGCGUUCAUAAGAGGCCGUAAUUGUGCAUCCAAGCAGGCCGUAAAUAUAUUCUCAACUAUUAUCCAAUUUGAUUUAUAGGA